UACGAAGGGGGCUAGCGUUGCUCGGAAUCACUGGGCGUAAAGGGUGCGUAGGCGGGUCUUUAAGUCAGGGGUGAAAUCCUGGAGCUCAACUCCAGAACUGCUUUUGAUACUGAAGAUCUUGAGUCCGGGAGAGGUGAGUGGAACUGCGAGUGUAGAGGUGAAAUUCGUAGAUAUUCGCAAGAACACCAGUGGCGAAGGCGGCUCACUGGCCCGGUACUGACGCUGAGGCACGAAAGCGUGGGGAGCAAACAGG
rnacentral:rRNA from 1 species